rnacentral:lncRNA from 10 species
CAUACCCGAACCUAAGAACCCGUCAUCACUAAGCCUUUAAAUUCAGCCUGAAUCCUAUUUCUAAUUGUAUUCCUCUUUCCUCUUCCACUCCUCUGCACGCAGAUCCUCCCAAAUUCUUCUUCCUUGUCUUCCUGCCUCAGUGGCUUUUCAGAUACCACAUACAAAAGGAUCUGCUGCCUAAAAUAGCCAUUUACCUAUCUCACUAUUAAUUCGACUUAGCCAUGUCAUGAUAAUAAAUAGGCACAGAUGAAAGUGAUGCUCUUAGAAUAUAA